ACAAAUCCCCUGUUCAUUCUUGCAUUGCUGUGGAGGCCGGAUGGGACUCGUCUUCCGUCUCGCCUCUGCAUCCGGUGCAAGGGUAACACACGUUCCAUGCUGCAUUGCACAGCACUGCACAUGACAUUUCUGCAAAUCUUCUGAUCGCAUCAUCACAAACAACAAA
rnacentral:misc_RNA from 1 species